rnacentral:lncRNA from 1 species
UGGGUUUUGUUUAGAUCAAGUUUAGCCUUCGCUACUUGCUUGUAGGCGCGCGUGCAGGAUCAGCCGCCCGUCUCCUUGUCUUCGGAACCCCAUUGUUGAUUAAGAUUCAGUUUGAAACCUUCAAUUCAUCUUGCAAAUUCAGUGCUUGUUUUCUCGUUCUUGCUAGUUCUUCGAUUGCUUGCAGGACGGGAGCCCUAGGGGCUGGUUGUCGCGCUCCACAAGAUCGUGACGGCUAUUAGACGUGGUGUAUCGGUUGCUAAGGCGCGGUCUUGAGGGCUGUAGUCGGGCCGUGAACGUCAUCUCCAUCCACCAAUCGAGUUAUCCCCGUCUCUCAUCAAAAGAUCGGGCAAAAACCCUAGCGGGUUCGCAUCAGUUGGUAAUCAGAGCAAGGUUCUUCGGUGAGAGACUUCUAAUCCUUUGCUAUUUUUAAUUAAUUUCCUAUAGUCCAGAAAAGCCAAAAAAAAUAUAGUAAAUUAGUUUUUCCAUAAUCCUAUUAAACCUUUGUGCCUUGGCUAGUACGUUUUAGUUAGGGCUUGUUGAAUUUGCGUUGCUUCGGUUUGUGUCGAGUUGCUGGUCUUAGUGUCUAGUCCUUUAGAGUUUCGAGUUUUUGUCACCAUCUAUACACAGCCGAGUAUUACCAUAUCUUCUCUCUGUCGAAUCUGUUGUGAAGUCCGAAUUGAACUGUGGUCUUGGUCCGGAUCGAGUAGAGUUCCAAUCUGAGUUCAAAAAGAAAGAUAACUCCAUACUUGUUCGGCCUUACUCUAGAGAGAGAGAGAGAGAGUGGAGCGAAAAAAGUGUGUGGAGCGAAUUGCUCUUUUGUAUUCUUUUGUUCAUAUAAUCAGUUUUUGAGGUUGCCCAAAAAAAGAAAAAAAAGAAAAGAGAAAAGAUUCAAAAAAGGGGCUGUUUUUCAUAUUGAUUUUAGGUUUGUUCCACCUUGUUUUCGGGGGUGUGCUGUGGUUUUCCUUUGUGUCCAGGCUCGCGUCUCUAGCACGGUCUAGCC